rnacentral:misc_RNA from 1 species
AACGCAAAUUGCGCCUUUCUCGGAAGGCAUGUCUGUUUGAGGGCACCAUUUAACAAAUAAUGUGCGUGUUGCGUUUUGCGCGGCGUGCACACGUUGAUGAGCUUUCCAAAGAAAAUGAAAAUUUUUUUGGUGGCGCAUAAUAAACAGCGUGAGGCUUUUCUUAAUUCGAGUGUAGUAAAAACAACGCUUGGCUUGUGAGGAGCACAUUGCGCAAUGGGUGUGGCGGUACCCAGCCCCAACGCCACUCUUUCUCACGAAAGAAAGUUAAUCAUCAGGGCCUCAAAUCAGACAAGAGUACCCGCUGAACUUAA